rnacentral:rRNA from 1 species
UACCUCAUAGUAUAGUUACUUUGGCAUCAAGGAACUAUUAAAGUCACAACGGACAAAAGAUGAGUAUGCCGUCCCAUUAGCUAGAUGGUAAGGUAACGGCUUACCAUGGCAAUGAUGGGUAGGGGGUCCUGAGAGGGAGAUCCCCCACACUGGCACUGAGACACGGACCAGACUCCUACGGGAGGCAGCAGUGAGGAAUAUUGGACAGUGGGCGCAAGCCUGAUCCAGCCAUGCCGCGUGCAGGAAGACGCAUCUAUGGUGUGUAAACUGCUUUUGUACGGGAAGAAACACUCCUACGUGUAGGAGCUUGACGGUACCGUAAGAAUAAGGAUCGGCUAACUCCGUG